rnacentral:rRNA from 1 species
GACGAACGCUGGCGGCGUGCCUAAUACAUGCAAGUCGAACGAGAGCGACCGGUGCUUGCACUGGUCAAUCUAGUGGCGAACGGGUGAGUAACACGUGGGUAACCUGCUCAUCAGAGGGGGAUAACAUCCGGAAACGGAUGCUAAAACCGCAUAGGUCUUCGAGCCGCAUGGCUUGAAGAGGAAAAGAGGCGCAGGCUUCUGCUGAUGGAUGGACCCGCGGUGCAUUAGCUAGUUGGUGAGGUAACGGCUCACCAAGGCCGUGAUGCAUAGCCGACCUGAGAGGGUGAUCGGCCACAUUGGGACUGAGACACGGCCCAAACUCCUACGGGAGGCAGCAGUAGGGAAUCUUCCGCAAUGGACGCAAGUCUGACGGAGCAACGCCGCGUGAGUGAAGAAGGUUUUCGGAUCGUAAAACUCUGUUGUUAGAGAAGAACAAGUGCUAGAGUAACUGUUAGCGCCUUGACGGUAUCUAACCAGAAAGCCACGGCUAACUACGUG